GAUGAACGCUGACAGAAUGCUUAACACAUGCAAGUCAACUUGAACUUCGGUUUGGGUGGCGGACGGGUGAGUAACGCGUAAAGAACUUACCUCACAGAUAGGGACAACAUUUGGAAACGAAUGCUAAUACCUGAUAUUAUGAUUUUAGGGCAUCCUAGGAUUAUGAAAGCUAUAUGCGCUGUGAGAGAGCUUUGCGUCCCAUUAGCUAGUUGGAGAGGUAACGGCUCACCAAGGCGAUGAUGGGUAGCCGGCCUGAGAGGGUGAUCGGCCACAAGGGGACUGAGACACGGCCCUUACUCCUACGGGAGGCAGCAGUGGGGAAUAUUGGACAAUGGACCAAGAGUCUGAUCCAGCAAUUCUGUGUGCACGAUGAAGUUUUUCGGAAUGUAAAGUGCUUUCAGUUGGGAAGAAAAAAAUGACGGUACCAACAGAAGAAGUGACGGCUAAAUACGUGCCAGCAGCCGCGGUAAUACGUAUGUCACAAGCGUUAUCCGGAUUUAUUGGGCGUAAAGCGCGUCUAGGUGGUUAUGUAAGUCUGAUGUGAAAAUGCAGGGCUCAACUCUGUAUUGCGUUGGAAACUGUGUAACUAGAGUACUGGAGAGGUAAGCGGAACUACAAGUGUAGAGGUGAAAUUCGUAGAUAUUUGUAGGAAUGCCGAUGGGGAAGCCAGCUUACUGGACAGAUACUGACGCUGAAGCGCGAAAGCGUGGGUAGCAAACAGG
rnacentral:rRNA from 1 species